GGCCCGCCCCGGCCCGCAGGACACCCCCUCGGAACGCGCGGCCCCCCGGCUAAGUCAUGUUUAACAGCCUCAGAAAUUAUCUUGUCUCCGCGUUCUUUCUUCUGCCGGCGAGCCAGUGUCAUUUGUGGAUUCUUAAAGAAACCUCUCCAUACCUGAUGCAUAAAGUAUAACAUCAAAUAGUAAGGGGUUGACAAUAGGAAUGAUGUCUUUCAAAGAAGCUGUUUCUUGGAGAAAUCUCUGAAUCUGGGCUUAGGGUCAGCACUCAGGGAGAACCAAUCAACAACAACAGCAGGAUGGACUGAAGAGUCUCUUGAGGCAUGGUAAGAAAGCUGUAUUGCAGGAGGUUUUGUCCAUUCACCUAUUCAUUCAGUAAGCACUCACAGUUCACUUCUAAUAUUUCAGGCACAAAGUCAGCUUUUAUGGAACCUGCAAUGCACAAAGAAACAAGCAAUAAACAAGGAAAUGUCAGAAAGUAAUGACUGCUAUGCAGUCUUAAAAGAGUGAUGAGUUUCAGUAAAAGCAAUUUCCGAGUACAUCUUGAAGCUGUCAUAAGAGAAUGCUUUCUGGUAUAAAGUUUGCAACGUAUCCAUAGGCUUUCUUUCAGAAAUUUCUAGUUCUUGAGCCUCUGUUACAAUAUUUUGGUAAGUGAUUGGUUUUCCAUGGUACUUUCCGUUUCAUGGGGAUUUCAGAAAAACUGUUGCCCUCAACCCUUUCCCCACAGACCUCUGCACAUGCAUCUUUUCAAGGCAGGCACUUUAGAAUAAUACAGAUAACUAGAUAUGGAUGUGUAUAUGUGUUUAUUUUCAGCAUAAAUUUGCUUAAAGUGAUGUUUUCCAAAAUAUUUUGUCUUCCAAAAGAAAAGACUAAUUUUCUGAAAUAGUCUAUCAGUGUCUCUAGGGCAUCGUUCAGUUGGGUGGCACUAGAGUUUUGGUAUAUUUUAAACAUAUUUUCUUAUUGUUGUAUUUCCUAUAUGUGGCGAGAUACUAUUUUAAAACCCAGAGAGGCCUUGGAGACACAGUAAAGGAGGCCAGUUUGGGGUAAUGGCUCGACACCAGCUGGGACCAUGGAAAAACUAGUCUAAGCCUGGGUCCUUUUGGUGUAAAUGCGUGGGCACUUGAGGCCUUCUAAUAUGAAGCCCAAUAGCCUUCUGUUCUGGGAAAUUGUUCCCUGUUUGUUUGGUGGUGUUUAAUGACUUCCUUCCUUCCAUUUUCUCUGCACUAUCUUUUUCAAAUACCCUUGUCAGAUUGGGCCUUCCUAACUCACUUCAACGACCCUCUCAUAAUAUUCCAGCCCAGAUUUCCUUUUCUUUUUUUGCAUAAAGCUCAUAUCCUCCAUAAUGUUUAGAAUUUCUUUUUCUUUCUUUCUUUUUUUUUGAGAUGGAGUCUCACUCUGU